GGCUAACCACUGAAGCUUGAAUAUUGCAUAUACUUGGGAUAAAAGGCCACUUGAAGCUGUUUACAUCAAACAGCAGUCACCUUCAACUUAAUCUGCCAAGAAUUAAGAUGAUUCCACCCCAAAAGCACAAAAGAUCUAUUUCUGUGAACCUCCUGGACAUCUCUCUUCUGUGACAUUAGGUGAGAUCCAUCUAUACACCUUCAAAUCAAUGAGUACCCAAGGUUCUUUUGCUUGAGUUUGUUCAUUUUAUGAUUUAAUUUUAGGAGCUGUUUCCUCCUCCUCCUUACGAUGUCCUACAAAACCAAACUUUGCUUGGAGAAUUUGUCUUAAAUAUAUUUCUUCAUGGUCAUUUAGGAGACUAUUAUUCCUGAACUGAGACCAUAGCUUACCUGAAGUUAUAAUCUUUUUUCUUCCUCAGAAUGAAAAUUAAAGGUAGUGAUGGUACUUACUUUAUUGAGAAAUUAUAAGUUGUAUUGUUACUAAUGUACUUCUGUCUUAGGAAUCUACCCCUCCUGCACAAAGCAAAUCCUUUACUAUUUGCUUGGUCUAAAAUUCAGUUCUACCUGAAGGUAAUUCCUUUAACCAAAUAUCUAUGGCCCUCCACUGUGCUGCCUUCUGACAGUGCUUUAAGUUUCAAAUCCUCCUUCCCCUUUUUUUUCUAGCCAUAAACAGAGUAGUGACUUUCUCUAGUGUUUUUAGCUGUUGAAGGUAUCCAUAAAGAGAUUCAAUGUUGGCAGAUGAGGUAGCUGUCUAAAUCUACUUCAUAGCCACGGAUGAUCUGUUACAUCUCUAGUUAGUCCUCGGGAUUCUCUUACACUGCCUCUUCCACUGUUUUUACUAUUAUUUCCUAGAUAUUUCAGCAGUCAGUUUAUACUCUCUAAAGCAUGAGAUAUAUGUCUUCAUCACAGAUCUACAUCUUUAACCAUUUUUGUUGAUGUGUGGCAGCAUUUUCUAUAUAAAGGGGGAAACAUGAAAGAGAACAGAAAGUACCUGUUGAAGUGGAAAUUUCUGGUUUCUUUGGAGACUCAGUUGUGUCAUGUGAUGUUUUUCUGGAAUCUGUCUUAUGAGAAGAUGUAUUGGUUGAGAACAGACAUCUGGUUUUUUUCUGGAAGCAUCCUGGAAAAAGGCCAUGUGAUGUUUUACAAAAGAGAGGACACUUGAAAGAACUUGUGAUGUUUGAAGGGGUAGAAAUAUAACCCAACAGACAGUAUGCAGUGCUGUGUGUGGUAUUGGUACGCCUUGCCACUUUUUGCUGGUCAUUGUCGUGACUUUAGAGAGAGACACCCAGCAACAAACUUCUGGUGGUGUUCCAGCGGCUUCUUGCUACUUCUACUCACUUAAGCCGAUUCGCAGAGCCUUGAGAUUUCUUCUGGGUUGAAUUGGCUGUUGCAAUUUCAUGAAGGGUGUUUGCAAGUGCAUUGAGCUACCGCUACAGAUUUGUGGGAACUGAAUUGCUGCUAUCCCAACAAUGCAGAUCGGAUUUGCUCCAAAGAACUACUUCUAAACGGGUACACAUCCUGCUCACAUUAACCUUUCCUUUCCACUACCUGUGGUGAGUGGUAGGCAACAAGGGAGGUUAAAGCAUAACCUAGGGCCACCUACCUUUUGAGGGUAUCACCCGAAGUGGGAUGGAGCUUCCCCAUCAACCACUAAUUUAAAAAAGGGAGCAAAUGUACACAUGAGUGCAGGAGCCUGUGGAUGCCAGAUGAUGCUGUCACAGUACCUGGAGCUGGAGACAAUACCAGUGGUUGUGAGUGACCAGGUGUGGGUGCUGAGAACCAAACUCUGGUCCUCGGAGAACCGCAAGAGCUCUCAACCUCUGAGGCACCUCUACAACCUCAGAAUUGUCUUCAUGUAAGAUGUUGCCUAAAACUGUUAGAUAUGGGUGUCUCUACGUGGCCUGAUUAGAGAAGACUUGUCUGUCACAAGGCACUGUAUUGACCAAAAUAUUUUACAUGUUUCUAAGGAAGACCUUCUGGUAAAUCUGAAGUGUAUGUGGAACUUUGAGGAUACCCUAUGAUGGUGUAAUAUACCUCAGUAGUGAAAAGGGGCUGUGGCAGACAACAACAAAUUAAUAAUAUAAACUUUCACCAAGCUGACACAAUGUGUUCUGAUCAAGAGAGCAUGGGAUCAAUCACAGUAGUUUUGUCUUUGAAGUUUUGAUAGUAUACAGGUAGUUUGGAAGGUUCCCUGAUGAUGGAAGUAACUGAUUUUUACUUUUGGUAAAGAAGAUAUGUCCUGCAUGCACAUCUCACAUGGAAUUUCUAAGAAUCUGACAGUUAUGAGAUCAUAUUAAACCUAAUAGUACUCAUGAUUGGAAUCUUGCUACCAAGGAAUUUUAAGAAAGCUGCUCCAACACAGACUGAUGAAUCUUUACAUUUGUAGUUGUCUAAUCAAGAAAGGAUGGAUUCUCCUGCAAAUACUGUUAACUUUUAACUAAUCCAAACAUUCAAAUAGAAUGGAAGCGUCCUGUAGCCAUGAUCAUGGUCAAGAGAAUGGACAGGUAUGUUAGUAGAACAAGUUAUACCCUAGAACAAAUUUUUCAAUAUAUGAUUUUUUUUCAUUUCCCAUUCAAGAGAACACAGCAAUACAAGGAAGAUGCUGAAGGUAAGGUAAGUGAGAAAGUCAGCCUUGCCCAGUAUAGACUAUCUCAAGUGCAAUAUUUAUAGAAAUGACAUGGAUGCAUUUAGUAAAUGUUCCUCAGUAUGUCUUUCAGAGGUAGGCCAACCCAUCUCAGUAGGCUACAAAAGGCAUUCAAAUAGAACAUUGCUUAUAUAUAGGUAAGUACUCAUGUGGGAAAACUUAUCUCCAUACAGAUAAAUGAGUGAUAAUGGUGUCCCUAACAUUUCUCCUCAGUAUAGUUUUGUUAAAAAAAAAAGACAAAAAACAAAAACUAUUGACAAUCUUAGCAGUUCUAGUAGCUAUGAAUUUAUAAUUUUAACUGAGAAUAGUGAAUUUGAUUUGAUACUCAUCGCCUGUUACUACUAUAACACUGCUAGCCCAGUAUCAGUCAGUAGAUAUUCUGUUGGUGUCCAGUUGAAACAAAUGCUCACUCUGGAUGAUGCUCUUGGCGUAGAGUUACUCCAAGAAUUGAGGUAGAUUUGAAUUCGUCCUUAACAAUGUUUGUAGACAAAUACCCUGCUGUCCCAGUUAUAUUCUAAAACAUAGUUUUACAUGUUAUUUUUCUCUUUCAACAUAACAGACUAAUGCAGAAAGGAUUGUUGAUAGAAUCCUGAUAAUAAGCAAAUAUUAUCAGGUAAGUGAUGGAGGAACUAUAGCACAUUGUACAUCCUCACUCCUUCAGCAUCCUGCUAGAUCAGAAUGUGUCACUAAUCUGAUGUUGCCAUAUUUUUUAUAGGUAUCCUAUUUGGCCUUUACUAGUGAACAGGUAUAAGACAGUAUCAUAUUCAUUCAUUGACACUCUUAUUUUAAGAUGUGCCAUGGAUUAAUAUUUUGGAAAACUUUUUAUUUCCCCCCUUUCUAUGUGGUUCAAAUAAUAUCUCCAUUAAUCUUUCUAAUUGAGUAUCAGUUUUAUAACUUUAAGAACAGAUUGUGUAAAUUUAGUGCUUGUAAUGGUACUGGCUUAAGCAGUUGCACAAAUAAUUUUCUAAUGCCAGUAACUAUAAUUUUUACAGUAGAAUUCUAGGUAGAACUCUUUUGAGAUAUUAAGAAUUCUAUUUCAAGGUUUUGCUAUAGUGGGUCAGCAAGAUAUUCUGAUAGUAUGAAUGGAUCUUGAAACGAUGCAGUUUCCUUCAGAACUUUCAAGUAUAUAGGUAGAGUUAAGCUUGCACAACACAGAUCUACAAAAUGUUUGGCAGAGACAGGUCAAGACAUCAGAGUGAGACAAUGAAUGCCAAGUAGAAGGUAGAUAAGAUCCAGGUAAGUACUCUGCAUAUAUGUAGAAAGUAGGUGUUGUAUUGUUCCUUUCUUGGUGCCAUCCAUGCCUUUUUUUCCCCCAGCUGUUCAUUUGAGAAAUGAUGAAGCUCUCAGCAGUUGCAAUGACUGUGGCAGCAAACUUUUUCAUAUGGUAGAAAAAAAUUCAUACUGAACUUGUUAGGGGAUUGGUUAUAUACUGGCUUGCUGUUGUAGAACUCCAAGCCUCAUAGCUUUCUCAUGAAUAUUGUAAAGCUUGGAUUUAUCCAUUUUUUAUGUAGAAGUUAGAGUGUCUCUUAAUGUUUACUGGCAAAGAAGUGAACAUGUGUCCUGUAGGGCUCUAAUUUGAAACAUAUUUUCACGGGUUUUGUCUUUCAUAUUCUCUUUAAAUGCAUUCAAAGGUAACUGAAAAUAUCGUUGGGUAAGAUUACUGAGAGCCAGGGAAGUAAUUCAGGGAUCAUAUCACAGAGUGGACCUCCUGAACUUCAUUCUCCAGGAACAAUGAACUUAUGUGUAAUCCCAUAUUGCCUGGUUUUGGUAGGUGUCCUGGAGAGUUUCAACUAUUAUACAGCAAAUGAAGAGCAUUAUAGAGAACCCCAACUGGAAACAGUAUAGAGAUCAACAAAUUGCAGAGAGCUCAACCCCAAUAGAUGCAUCUACAUCACAGAUCCUGCAUCAGAAGACGUCAUGGAAGAGGCACAUAGAGAGAUUUAAGAGUCAGCAUACCAGGAAUUCUGCUAUAAAACAGUGCCUCCUAGUAAUGGCUACAUAAACAAAACCAGAACAAUGGCAAUAUCAAUGGACAUGCUAAUGUAUUCCCUUCAAGAAAACAUCACUAUCCAAAAAAAAAAAAUAUUACCAUGAGGUCUUUACUAAUGGCCUGGUUCCAUUCAAGGGAAUACAGCAUUUCAUGAAAGACUAUUGGGGGAACCUUGCUAAGAGCUAGCCCCUGCUGGCUUCAAGCUUGCUAUACAGCUGAGGAUUACCUUGAACUUCUGAUCUUCCUGAUUUCCCUCCUGAGUGCUGGGAUUAUAGGUAUGUAGCACCAGGCACAAUUCAUCACAACACUGUUGACCAUGUCAUACUUGUAAGUAUCCCCUUACAGGACUAAGUGCCCCAUACCAAGCCAUUGUCCUGUGAGAAUGUCAAGGCUCAGAUAAGAUAGAUACAUCCUAAACUCACACAAUGAUCUACUGAAUUUCUAUGUGUAUACAUAGAAUGAGACAUGUACCAAAUAGGUGUUUAACUGUGUUUUGUUUUUCAGAGCUAGCACAAAGCAUCAGGGUGAGGGAGUGUCAUUAAGUGGGGCUAAGCCAUAGCAUAAAAUACAUCUUUGUUAAUAUAUGUAAGUAAUGAUGGCCCUAACCUUUCACCAUGUUUUGAUUUUGCCAAAGACUAGUUAAAACUAAUGUGAUUCUAGCAAUAUUACUGAAAAUGAGAUAGAAUAACCUACAUAUUAGUCAAGAAGGAGUAGGGUCUCUGUCACUGUUUUAAUGUUUAAUCGUUCCAUGUAUUCAGGUGGAGUUUGUGUGUCUCUUUUCAGUGUUCAUUGACAAAAGUGGACAGGAAUCCAGGUAAAAUAACUUGUAUCUGAAGCAUAUUUUUUCCUUUGGUCCCUUUUAAGGGAAAAUACCCAGAAAGGGUGAUAGAAUCUUGCUAGAAAGGAGGAAAAUGAGAAAAUAACCAUAGAGCAGCAAAGAUUGUUCAAUCUUCAAUACUCCAGUACAUGUAUAGGGUGUGCUAAUCAGUGCUACUAGCUCUGUAAAAGUUAAGUUUAUUUUGUAGAACUCAUGGAAGCUAAAAGAAUGUGUGUGUCCUGUUUCAUUGUUCUGGACAUGUCAUCCUGAAUGUAAGCAUGAAAUGUUGUUGUUGUUGUUGUUGUUUUAAAAACCUGGUGGUUAAAAAAUGAAAUGUUGCUACUAUUACUAAGAACUUUCAGAUUUCAUUGACUUCUUACUGACCAAUAGCAUAAAUUUAAUGUUUAUCCUGCUAGCGACAUACUCAAGGUUUCAGAGGAUUUUCCUCCUACCCUUCAAUGUGAAUUUAACUGCGAUUUUCUGAGCCAUCCUCUGAAAUAAGCAACAAUUAUCUGCAAGGCUUUGUCUACACAUAUCCAGGUAGCAUACGGUUCUGAACUAAUAAAAUGACUCAGAGAUCAUGCCGUGCUUCUAGCAAAAUGAAACAUCUGCCAAGUUAGUAUUCCACGUUGUGUGUUUUAGAGACAACUCUGAUCCUCGUGGUAAGCCAGAAAAUGCCAUGAAACAAAGCACUGCUCAUAUUCAGGGAAGUACUCAUGAGUCUGAAAUCAUAUUAAGCAAUAUGUGGUCUACGUGUGGUAGUGGGGAGGUGGUGGUAGUGUAUAGUAUUUUUGUUGUCACCAUGCUUUUUUUACAUGAUGUUUGCUUUCACAUUCCCUUCAAGAGGGUAUAGUGACCCUGAAAAGUGUUGAGGGAAGCUUGCUAAUUUUUAAGUAAAUGAUGGUGUAUAUACCACAGCACAAACCAUGUGAUCUUAGAUAUCUAAGGUAAGUGUUGCAGUACCUAGGUAUAUGAGAACUAGUGCCAAGAGUGGUGGCAUCACACUUCUUUUGGUGUAUUUCUGGAAUGAUUUUAGGUAGUGCAUAGUUGAGUGGACAUUAAGACCUUACUUUUAGAUGUGUAUGUUAGAAGUGUUUCUGGUAAGCUUACAUUCCCCAUUUUUUAAACAUUCAUUAUUAAAUAUUAAAUAUAACAAAUAUUUUCUAACAACCCUACUAACAUAUCCUUGAACACUUGUCAUCUACAAAUGUCUUCUAUACAUAUAAUGGCAGAAACAGACUCAUAGCUUCAGGUUAUGUUCAUAGAUGUCAUCACAGAGAGAUGCAGUAUGUUCUUUUUGCAGAUAUUCUUUCAAGGAAGAAAGAGAUCUCUUAUGAGAAGAUCUUCAUGCUCUGAAUUCUGCAAGUUUCUACAGAUCUGAAAAUGAUGCAGAGACUUUGGGAAUGACUGUGGUAUUUUCAUGAUGUUUAUUUGUAACACAGGUCGGAAGACCACAGUGGCACAGGGUUGUAGAAAGGAGCAUGUCCAGUAUCCAGGUCAGGGCUGCCGUGGGCUUUCAUCACAUAGGGCAGUGGUUCUUAACCUUUCUUAUGCUGCAACCCUUUAACACAGUUGCUCAUGUUGUGCUGACCCCCCAACCAU